AUGGCCGUCUCUCGCUGCUCCAUCCUUCUGCUCCCGCUCCCGCUCCUCUUCCUCUGCACCCUCCCGCCGCCCGCCUCCGCAUGCGACCGCUGCAUGCACCGCACCAGAGCCGCCUGCUACGCCUCCUCUCUCACCCUCGCCGCCGGUUCCUGCCGGUACGGCGCCGCGGCCGCGUCCCUCAACGGCGACCUGCUCGCCGGGGCGGGCCCUGCCCUGUACAGACAAGGCGUCGGCUGCGGCGCGUGCUUCCAGGUGCGCUGCAAGGACGAGGAGCUCUGCGCUACCGCCGGCGUGAAGGUCGUCGUCACGGACCGUGCCAGCACGAAGACGAACGACACCGACCUCGUGCUGAGCAGCCCGGCGUUCGCCGCCAUGGCCCGCCCCGGCAUGGCUGGGCGGCUCACCAAGCUCGGCGCCGUCGACGUCGAAUACAAGAGGGUGCCGUGCGAGUACUCGGGCAAGAACCUCUCGGUGCGGGUGGAGGAUCGGAGCCGCGCGCCCGGCGAGCUGACCGACAUCGUCCAAGUCGACGUCGCGCAGGUCUGUUCGUCGUCGAGCUGGACAUCCCUGACACGCGACCACGGGCCGGCGUGGAGCACGAGCCUGGCGCCACCGGGGCCGCUGAAGCUCAGGGCGGUGGUGACCGGCGGGUACGACGGGAAGUGGGUCUCGACCGACCGGGAGGUCCUGCCGCGCCAGUGGCGCGCUGGCGAGGUCUACGACACCGGCGUCCAGAUCACCGAGAUCGCCCAAGAAGACUGCUUCCCCUGCGACACGCAGGAGUGGAAGUGA
rnacentral:rRNA from 1 species